GAGGCAGCAGUGGGGAAUAUUGGACAAUGGGCGCAAGCCUGAUCCAGCCAUGCCGCGUGAGUGAUGAAGGCCUUAGGGUUGUAAAGCUCUUUCACCGGAGAAGAUAAUGACGGUAUCCGGAGAAGAAGCCCCGGCUAACUUCGUGCCAGCAG
rnacentral:rRNA from 1 species